rnacentral:lncRNA from 1 species
GAUUUUGGUGAUAGCAGGAAGAGAUUCGAAACGACUUGCAAUUUGUGAUAAAGUUCCGGAAAAUUUCGUCAAGGUAUUGUUAUUUAUCAUGCUGCUUUGGUGUUAAAUUGAAUGUUUAAGAACUUAUUUUUUUUUUAAAAAAUUUAUACUGUGUUUAGUUGAAUAUUUUGUGUGUUAUGCGCAUAGAAUCAGAUGAAUUUGCUGUUGAUUUUGAAUGUUACUUGAUUGAUAUAUGACACUGAUAGUGACAGUGCGUUACGCACCGCAGAAUCACACUGUUUUGGUGUUAAUUUGAAGGCUUAUGAACUUGAUUUCGCUCUAGGUUUUCUUUUGAUAAUUUUUAUAUUGUGUUCAGUUGAAUCUUUUGUGCAUUAUGCGCAAAGGAUCAUAGGACUUUGGUGUUGAUUUUGAUAUGUAAGACU